UUCCGUAGGUGAACCUGCGGAAAGGAUCAUUG
rnacentral:rRNA from 1 species